rnacentral:rRNA from 1 species
AUUGAACGCUGGCGGCAGGCCUAACACAUGCAAGUCGAACGAGUGGCGGACGGGUGAGUAAUGUCUGGGAAACUGCCCGAUGGAGGGGGAUAACUACUGGAAACGGUAGCUAAUACCGCAUACUAUCGGAUGAACCCAUAUGGGAUUAGCUUGUAGGUGGGGUAAAGGCUCACCUAGGCGACGAUCUCUAGCUGGUCUGAGAGGAUGAUCAGCCACACUGCGAAUGAGACACGGACCAGACUCCUACGGGAGGCAUCAGUGGGGAAUAUUGCACCAUGGGCGCAAGCCUGAUGCAGCCAUGCCGCGUGUAUGAAGAAGGCCUUAGGGUUGUAAAGUACUUUCAGCGGGGAGGCGUUACCCGCAGAAGAAGCACCGGCUAACUCCGUGCCAGCAGCCGCGGUACUAC